rfam:Lupinus angustifolius cultivar Tanjil chromosome LG05, whole genome shotgun sequence.
AACAGGCAAGGAUGAUGAUUCAAUUAGAUGUGUGAAAGGAAGAUCUCCUUUUUGAACUCACAUUUUUGAGGCAUUUCCAUUCAUAUCCCUGACUUGCUAUA